rnacentral:rRNA from 1 species
UACAGAGGUGGCAAGCGUUGUUCGGAAUUACUGGGCGUAAAGGGCGCGUAGGCGGCCUUCUAAGUCAGACGUGAAAUCCCCCGGCUUAACCUGGGAACUGCGUCUGAUACUGGAGGGCUUGAGUGCGGGAGAGGGAUGCGGAAUUCCAGGUGUAGCGGUGAAAUGCGUAGAUAUCUGGAGGAACACCGGUGGCGAAGGCGGCAUCCUGGACCGACACUGACGCUGAGGCGCGAAAGCUAGGGUAGCAAACGGG